rnacentral:misc_RNA from 1 species
UCUCCGUUGGUGGACCAGCGGAGGGAUCAUUACCGAGUUUACAACUCCCAAACCCAAUGUGAACCAUACCAAACUGUUGCCUCGGCAGGUCGUGCCUACCCCGUAGCGCCCUACCCUGUAGGACCUACCCGGUAGACGCGGGUAAGCCUGCCGGCGGCCCACGAAACUCUGUUUAGUAUUGAAUUCUGAACCUAUAACUAAAUAAGUUAAAACUUUCAACAACGGAUCUCUUGGUUCUG